GUGGUUCAGUGGUUAAGAACACUGACUGCUCUUCCAGAGGACCUGGGUUUGAUUCCCAGC
rnacentral:tRNA from 1 species